rnacentral:lncRNA from 1 species
UGGUAUAAACCUAAUUCGGCCUGACCUUGUCUUUCUAAAAGGGCCUGACCGAGGCCGUUGAGCAUGCAUUGUAUAUCUGCUUUAGAGAUUCCCUAUGGCAAGAGCAAAGGCCCUUGAGAUAAAGGUGCAACCUCCCUCCCCCUCCCAACUUUGGCAUCUCCUUAAGGAUUAAGCAACUUUCCUUAGGCUAGAAACUGAUUGCUGCACUCACCUGUGACCACCCAGCUCGAGACAUAGACUUGCCUCCUGCUACACCCACGAAGAUAGCAGACCCACUACCUGCUGUGUCCAUCAAGUGCUGUGCUGACAGGGCAAUCUUGUGACUAUUGUGCGAGGGACAUUUCAAUCAUAUAUUGGUUAUGGAUUAUUUUCGUCGACAGUUCUUGGCGUAGUUGCUGCAGGAUUUCAGAGAAACCCACCGGAGGCCACCUGGAAUCUACACUGAACUGGCAUUCGGUACCAAUAAGGGCCCAUUGAGCCCCCCGGAUCACUGCAUUCUUCAGGUGACCCUGCAACUGACCUCACCUCUAUUAUCGAAGAACAAGAGAGCAUCAAUUGGGAGUUCUCUCAACUUCUUGCUGCUAGACCUACAAAUUUGAAAACAUCUUCAAUUGUCCUCUCCUUUGUCCUCCAGUUACAGUGGAGAAAAUGUUCUUAUUCCUUUCCGUGGGCAAUGAAUCCAACUGUGCAUAUUUUCAGGAAUCUCAUUAUAAUAAUUAUUCUUUCAGCUUCUUUCUCUUUAGUUAGUUGACUCAUAUUGACUGAUGCUUACCUUUUUUUUUUUCAGAUGUAGAGAAUAUUGUUUCUACAGCUUUCAGCUGCAUAGUUGAGUUACUCAUACUCAUCAGUUCAUGACUGGCAAUCAACAAUUUCACAAUUUCUUCCUUUAACCCCAAGCCAGUUCCCCUCCAACCAGAGGGACCUGAGCCAAUCUGUUUAAUCACACACACAUUCUCAUCCUUGUAUACUUGUAAAAUAUAUCAUACAGUUGUGUUGGAAUUUUAUGCCUCAGAUCAGAACCAAAAAAGAUAUUAUCCGAUGGAUAUGAAAAUACUAGUUUUAUAACCAGCAAAAAAGAAUUGGGUGGAAAUUGUGUCAUUCACGUGAGGCCAAAUGGACAGUCUUCUCCACAUACCACCUUUUGUUUCCUUUCUUUUUCUUUCCUUAUUGCACAGGCUGAUACUGCCAAUAAAAUCUUGAGUCAAAAUUAUAAGAUUAGAUAUCCACGCCCUGUUCUCAAUCUUAGAGAGAGAACAUUUCUUUGACCAUUAUCCAGGAUACUAGCUGUAGGUUUCCUUUUAUGUGUCUUUUGUUUGUUUGUUUGUUUGUUUUUGGUUGAGGAUUUUUCAUUUUACUCCUAGUUUAUUGAAAGCAUUUACCAGGAAUUUUGUGGAUUUUUUCCAAAGCUUUUUCUGAACCUAUUAAGAUGAUUGUAUGUUUCUUUAUUCUUUAAUCUGUUAAUAUGGUGAAUCUUAUGGGUUAAUUUUCAUGUGUUAAAUCUAUUUUGCAUUUGAGAGAUAAACCAUAUUUGGACGUGAUGUAUUAAACUUUUUAUGGAUUACUGGAUUCAAUGUGUAAAAUUUUGUCAAGAAU